AUUGAACGCUGGCGGCAGGCCUAACACAUGCAAGUCGAACGGUAACAGGAAGCAGCUUGCUGCUUCGCUGACGAGUGGCGGACGGGUGAGUAAUGUCUGGGAAGCUGCCUGAUGGAGGGGGAUAACUACUGGAAACGGUAGCUAAUACCGCAUAAUGUCGCAAGACCAAAGAGGGGGACCUUCGGGCCUCUUGCCAUCGGAUGUGCCCAGAUGGGAUUAGCUUGUUGGUGGGGUAACGGCUCACCAAGGCGACGAUCCCUAGCUGGUCUGAGAGGGUGACCAGCCACACUGGGACUGAGACACGGUCCAGACUCCUACGGGAGGCAGCAGUGGGGAAUAUUGCACAAUGGGCGCAAGCCUGAUGCAGCCAUGCCGCGUGUAUGAAGAAGGCCUUCGGGUUGUAAAGUACUUUCAGCGGGGAGGAAGGGAGUAAAGUUAAUACCUUUGCUCAUUGACGUUACCCGCAGAAGAAGCACCGGCUAACUCCGUG
rnacentral:rRNA from 1 species